rfam:Gossypium hirsutum cultivar TM-1 chromosome 19, whole genome shotgun sequence
UUUUAAAAAAUUUCAUCUAUUUCUGUGGUUAAAAAUUGGUAUAGCUGACAAAAUAACUAGAUAAUUACAUAUGGUGUGCCACGUGUGCCUUAUGCUGAUAUAAAUAAACCAGUUUUUAAUAAUAGAAAUGGAUGAAAUUGUUAAUA